UACGUAGGGGGUAAGCGUUAUCCGGAUUUACUGGGUGUAAAGGGAGCGCAGACGGCAGUGCAAGUCUGGAGUGAAAGCCCGGGGCCCAACCCCGGAACUGCUCUGGAAACUGUGCGGCUAGAGUACUGGAGGGGCAGGCGGAAUUCCUAGUGUAGCGGUGAAAUGCGUAGAUAUUAGGAGGAACACCAGUGGCGAAGGCGGCCUGCUGGACAGUAACUGACGUUGAGGCUCGAAAGCGUGGGGAGCAAACAGG
rnacentral:rRNA from 1 species